GAUCCUGGCUCAGGACGAACGCUGGCGGCGCGCCUAACACAUGCAAGUCGAACGAGCGAGAGAGAGCUUGCUUUCUCGAGCGAGUGGCGAACGGGUGAGUAACGCGUGAGGAACCUGCCUCAAAGAGGGGGACAACAGUUGGAAACGACUGCUAAUACCGCAUAAGCCUACGGCUCGGCAUCGAGCAGGGGGAAAAGGAGCAAUCCGCUUUGAGAUGGCCUCGCGUCCGAUAG
rnacentral:rRNA from 1 species